CAUAAUCAACGUGUGAGUGUCAACCUGCCGCGAAGGUCUAUGAGUGGUCUGUUACUCCUCUUUGUGGAGC
rnacentral:pre_miRNA from 1 species